ensembl:lncRNA
AUUAUGAUCGAGUGUAAAUGAGGGCCGCCGGCAGGCUGGAAACUAGCUACUGCGGUAGCAGUUGCUCUCUGAAGCCGCAAGCUGCCCUGCAGCAUACGGAGUUCCAGGGCCAAGAGAUCAGAUUGGAGCCGCAGUUGCAACAGCAGAUCCUUAACCCACUGUGCCAGCCCGAGGAUCAAACCUGUGUUCCAGCACCCCAGAGACUCCACCAAGCACAACAACAGGAACAUCGUCCCUAAACAACUUUAAAUCAAUCCCUGAGCAAUCAUCUAAGAAGUCUGAUCACCUGAAUAGACCACAUGGAGAGACUGUGGGAGCACAUGAAGAGAGGUGGGCAGGGGGAACCCAGCUGCAUCCAACAAUCCAGAAAUCCCUAUCAAGAUGCUAGACAUGAAGGAAACCAUCUUGGAUCCACCAGAUCAACCUAGCCACCAGCUGGAUACCACUGAGAGAUGCCAGUGGAGCAGAAUUGUCCAAUAAGCCUUGCCCAAAUUUCUCACCCACACAAUCAUGAGUAUAAUAAAAUGAUUAUUGUUUUCAGCC